AGGGUUCGAUUCUGGCUCAGAUUGAACGCUGGCGGCAUGGCUAAAACAUGCAAGUCGAACGAUGAAAGCACCUUCGGGUGUGCAUGAAGUGGCGAAAGGGCGAGGAAUACGUUCCUACGUACCCCAAGGUCAGGGAUAGCCCCGGGAAACUGGGAGUAAUACCUGAUAAUAUCUCCGGAUCAAAGGCUUCGGCCUCCUUGGGAGCGGGGAACGCCCUAUCAGGUAGUUGGUGAGGUAACGGCUCACCAAGCCUAAGACGGGUAGCGGGUGUGAGAGCAUGACCCGCCGCAUCGGGACUGAGACACUGCCCGGACUCCUACGGGAGGCUGCAGUAGCGAAUAUUCCGCAAUGCGCGAAAGCGUGACGGAGCAAUGCCGCGUGUGGGAUGAAUCUCUUCGGAGUGUAAACCACUGUCGGAGUUUAGGAACUCAAUGACCAGACUCAAAGGAAGGGCCGGCUAACUUCGUGCCAGCAGCCGCGGUAAUACGAAGGGCCCGAGCGUUAAUCGGAAUCACUGGGCUUAAAGCGUGUGUAGGCGGACUUGAAGGCACCUUGUGAAAUCCCUCGGCUCAACCGAGGAACUGCAGGGUGAACCAUGAGUCUCGAGACAGGUAGAGGUUGUCGGAACGAUAGGUGGAGUGGUGAAAUGCGUUGAUAUCUAUCGGAACGCCAAUGGAGAAGUCAGGCAACUGGGCCUGUUCUGACGCUGAGGCACGAAAGCGUGGGGAGCGAACGGGAUUAGAUACCCCGGUAGUCCACGCCGUAAACGAUGCGUACUNGUUGGGGAAGCUCUGACGCUGUUCCCGGCUGAAGCAAAAGUAUUAAGUACGCCGCCUGGGGAGUACGGUCGCAAGGGUAAAACUCAAAUGAAUUGACGG
rnacentral:rRNA from 1 species